rnacentral:rRNA from 1 species
AUGGGCGCAAGCCUGAUCCAGCAAUGCCGCGUGCAGGAUGAAGGCCUUCGGGUUGUAAACUGCUUUUGUACGGAACGAAAAGCUUCGGGCUAAUACCCUGGAGUCAUGACGGUACCGUAAGAAUAAGCACCGGCUAACUACGUGCCAGCAGCCGCGGUAAUACGUAGGGUGCAAGCGUUAAUCGGAAUUACUGGGCGUAAAGCGUGCGCAGGCGGUUUUGUAAGACAGAGGUGAAAUCCCCGGGCUCAACCUGGGAACUGCCUUUGUGACUGCAAGGCUAGAGUACGGCAGAGGGGGAUGGAAUUCCGCGUGUAGCAGUGAAAUGCGUAGAUAUGCGGAGGAACACCGAUGGCGAAGGCAAUCCCCUGGGCCUGCACUGACGCUCAUGCACGAAAGCGUGGGGAGCAAACAGGAUUAGAUACCCUGGUAGUCCACGCCCUAAACGAUGUCAACUGGUUGUUGGGUCUUAACUGACUCAGUAACGAAGCUAACGCGUGAAGUUGACCGCCUGGGGAGUACG